rnacentral:lncRNA from 1 species
CUGAAUUAUACUAAUAUUACUUACGAAACAGGAAACAUACAACCGGAUACAAAAAUUAUACAUCCAUAACUUACUUAGAAUAAGAAACCGACUUCAAUAAAUAAAAAAUCCCGAAAACUCAUAAAUUGAAGAAAGAGAAGAACCCCGAAUACAAAAAAACCCAGAUUUCUUCAUCAACACUAUUUCUGUUUCGUCACCUUGGCAGUUUGCUUUAAGAACCCUAACUGAAAAAACCCAGAAAAAGCAAAGCCCUAACUCCAGAACAAGCGAAAAUUGUAGACCCAAAAUCAUAGAUCUGAUUUUAGGUAGAACUAUCUCAAGCAGAGCCGCCAUCUUCGUUUCGUCAUUUUCUCGCCAUUGUUUUAGAUUGAACAACAGUGGUUUGUCACAGAAAUUGGAGAAAGAAGAAGAAAAGUUAUGGUAAAAAGAAGUAGAGAAGUUUUACAGAGAAGGAGAAGAUAUAAGUCGGC